rnacentral:rRNA from 1 species
AAUAAGAAAAAUGCCAGUAUGGUAUUGGCAGCCAAGGCUGUCAAAGAUGGUGAAGCAGACGCUGUCCUUUCGGCUGGGAAUACAGGUGCCUUGUUGGCAGCAGGAUUCUUCAUCGUGGGUCGUAUCAAGAAUAUCGACCGUCCUGGACUCAUGUCUACCUUGCCUACCGUUGAUGGGAAAGGUUUUGACAUGCUUGACCUCGGUGCUAAUGCAGAAAAUACAGCCCAGCACCUCCAUCAAUACGCUGUCCUAGGUUCUUUCUAUGCCAAGAAUGUUCGUGGCAUUGCGCAACCACGUGUUGGUUUGCUCAACAACGGAACAGAGAGUAGCAAGGGCGACCCGCUUCGUAAGGAAACUUAUGAAUUACUGGCGGCUGAUGAAAGUUUGAACUUUAUCGGAAACGUGGAAGCGCGUGAUUUGAUGAAUGGCGUUGCAGAUGUUGUUGUGGCAGAUGGUUUCACGGGAAACGCUGUGCUCAAAUCCAUCGAAGGGACAGCUAUGGGAAUCAUGGGCUUGCUCAAGACAGCUAUUACAGGUGGUGGUCUUCGAGCGAAACUAGGUGCCCUCCUUCUCAAGGACAGCCUCAGAGGUUUGAAAAAACAGCUCAAUUAUUCAGAUGUUGGUGGAGCGGUCUUGUUUGGUGUUAAGGCACCUGUUGUCAAGACUCAUGGCUCAAGCGAUGCCAAGGCUGUUUAUAGUACGAUUCGCCAGAUUCGUACCAUGCUAGAAACAGACGUAGUUGCCCAGACUGCGCGUGAAUUUUCAGGAGAAUAAAAGAGAUGACAGAAAAAGAAAUUUUUGACCGUAUUGUGACCAUUAUCCAAGAGCGACAGGGAGAGGACUUUGUCGUGACAGAAUCCUUGAGUCUGAAAGACGAUUUGGAUGCGGAUUCUGUUGACUUGAUGGAGUUUAUCUUGACUCUGGAAGAUGAAUUUAGUAUCGAAAUCAGCGAUGAGGAAAUUGACCAACUCCAAAGUGUAGGAGAUGUGGUUAAAAUCAUUCAAGGAAAAUAGCAAUCGGAGUUCCAAGUCAACGGAAGUAGAUGGUUUUUAGAAAUGAGAAAUAUCGGACAAGCUGGUAAAAUCUUGGCUGACAGUGGUUAUCNCUACGUCUGUUUCUAGCAUGGUACGAAUCUGGCGAAUCGUACUAUAAACAGCCUUGGCAUCGCUUGAGCCAUGAGUCUUGACAACAGGUGCCUUAACACCAAACAAGACCGCUCCACCAACAUCUGAAUAAUUGAGCUGUGAUGGGGAGCGAAGUUUAGUAGCGAAGUUAGUGACGUCACACUGCCAAGAAAAGCUUCUAGCGUUUAAACAUACUCUACCCGUACCGCAAACCGACACAGGUAGUCGAGGCGAGUAGCCUCAGGUGAGCGAGAGAACUCUCGUUAAGGAACUCGGCAAAAUGACCCCGUAACUUCGGGAGAAGGGGUGCUGACUUUAAGUCAGCCGCAGUGAAUAGGCCCAAGCAACUGUUUAUCAAAAACACAGCUCUCUGCUAAAUCGUAAGAUGAUGUAUAGGGGGUGACGCCUGCCCGGUGCUGGAAGGUUAAGAGGAGUGCUUAGCGUAAGCGAAGGUAUGAAUUGAAGCCCCAGUAAACGGCGGCCGUAACUAUAACGGUCCUAAGGUAGCGAAAUUCCUUGUCGGGUAAGUUCCGACCCGCACGAAAGGCGUAAUGAUUUGGGCACUGUCUCAACGAGAGACUCGGUGAAAUUUUAGUACCUGUGAAGAUGCAGGUUACCCGCGACAGGACGGAAAGACCCCAUGGAGCUUUACUGCAGUUUGAUAUUGAGUGUCUGUACCACAUGUACAGGAUAGGUAGGAGUCUAAGAGAUCGGGACGCCAGUUUCGAAGGAGACGCUGUUGGGAUACUACCCUUGUGUUAUGGCCACUCUAACCCAGAUAGGUGAUCCCUAUCGGAGACAGUGUCUGACGGGCAGUUUGACUGGGGCGGUCGCCUCCUAAAAGGUAACGGAGGCGCCCAAAGGUUCCCUCAGAAUGGUUGGAAAUCAUUCGCAGAGUGUAAAGGUAUAAGGGAGCUUGACUGCGAGAGCUACAACUCGAGCAGGGACGAAAGUCGGGCUUAGUGAUCCGGUGGUUCCGUAUGGAAGGGCCAUCGCUCAACGGAUAAAAGCUACCCUGGGGAUAACAGGCUUAUCUCCCCCAAGAGUUCACAUCGACGGGGAGGUUUGGCACCUCGAUGUCGGCUCGUCGCAUCCUGGGGCUGUAGUCGGUCCCAAGGGUUGGGCUGUUCGCCCAUUAAAGCGGCACGCGAGCUGGGUUCAGAACGUCGUGAGACAGUUCGGUCCCUAUCCGUCGCGGGCGUAGGAAAUUUGAGAGGAUCUGCUCCUAGUACGAGAGGACCAGAGUGGACUUACCGCUGGUGUACCAGUUGUCUUGCCAAAGGCAUCGCUGGGUAGCUAUGUAGGGAAGGGAUAAACGCUGAAAGCAUCUAAGUGUGAAACCCACCUCAAGAUGAGAUUUCCCAUGAUUAUAUAUCAGUAAGAGCCCUGAGAGAUGAUCAGGUAGAUAGGUUAGAAGUGGAAGGGUGGCGACACAUGUAGCGGACUAAUACUAAUAGCUCGAGGACUUAUCCAA